rnacentral:rRNA from 1 species
GACGAACGCUGGCGGCAGGCCUAACACAUGCAAGUCGAGCGAAGCCUUCGGGCUUAGCGGCGGACGGGUGAGUAACGCGUGGGAACGUGCCCUUUGGUACGGAAUAGCCCCGGGAAACUGGGAGUAAUACCGCAUGUGGUCGAGAGACGAAAGAUUUAUCGCCAAAGGAUCGGCCCGCGUUGGAUUAGGUAGUUGGUGGGUAAUGGCCUACCAAGCCGACGAUCCAUAGCUGGUUUGAGAGGAUGAUCAGCCACACUGGGACUGAGACACGGCCCAGACUCCUACGGGAGGCAGCAGUGGGGAAUCUUAGACAAUGGGGGAAACCCUGAUCUAGCCAUGCCGCGUGAUCGAUGAAGGCCUUAGGGUUGUAAAGAUCUUUCAGUGGGGAAGAUAAUGACCGUACCCACAGAAGAAGCCCCGGCUAACUCCGUGCCAGCCGCCGCAGUAA